rnacentral:rRNA from 1 species
CGGAUGAACGCUAGCGGCAGGCUUAAUACAUGCAAGUCGAACGGGAUUUGAGUAGCAAUAUUCAAUGAGAGUGGCGCACGGGUGCGUAACGCGUAUGCAACCUACCUUUAACAGGGGGAUAGCCCGGAGAAAUCCGGAUUAAUACCCCAUAGAAUAUAAUUGUGGCCUCACAUUUAUAUUAAAGCUCCGGUGGUUAAAGAUGGGCAUGCGUGCCAUUAGCUAGUUGGUGAGGUAACGGCUCACCAAGGCGACGAUGGCUAGGGGUCCUGAGAGGGUUAUCCCCCACACUGGUACUGAGACACGGACCAGACUCCUACGGGAGGCAGCAGUAAGGAAUAUUGGGCAAUGGACGCAAGUCUGAACCAGCCAUCCCGCGUGCAGGAAGACGGCCCUAUGGGUUGUAAACUGCUUUUCCAGGGAGAGAAACUUACGCACGUGUUGCGUGACUGACGGUACCCUGGGAAUAAGCAUCGGCUAACUCCGUG